rnacentral:rRNA from 1 species
CCUACGGGAGGCAGCAGUAGGGAAUUUUGCGCAAUGGGCGAAAGCCUGAAGCAGCAACGCCGCGUGAUCGAGACGCCCUUCGGGGUGUAAAGAUCUGUCAGUGGGGACGACACUUGACGGUCCCCACAGAGGACGCACCGGCUAACUCCGUGACAGCAGCCGCGGUAAUCCGGGGGGUGCCAGCGUUGUCCGGAAUCAUUGGGCGUCAAGAGUUCGUAGGCGGCACGUAAAGUCGGGGGGUAAAGGCAGAGGCUCAACUUCUGUACGGCACUGGAUACUUGCGGGCUAGAAUGCGGUAGAGGUAGAGGGAAGGCCUGGUGUAGCGGUGAAAUGCUUAGAUAUCAGGAAGAACAUCGGUUGCGUAGGCGCUUUACUGGGCCGUAAUUGACGCUGAGGAACGAAAGCGAGGGUAGCGAAUGGGAUUAGAUACCCCAGUAGUC